UACGUAGGGUGCGAGCGUUGUCCGGAAUUAUUGGGCGUAAAGAGCUCGUAGGCGGUGUGUCACGUCGGCCGUGAAAACCUGCAGCUUAACUGUGGGCGUGCGGUCGAUACGGGCAUCACUGGAGUUCGGCAGGGGAGACUGGAAUUCCUGGUGUAGCGGUGAAAUGCGCAGAUAUCAGGAGGAACACCGGUAGCGAAGGCGGGUCUCUGGGCCGAUACUGACGCUGAGGAGCGAAAGCGUGGGGAGCGAACAGG
rnacentral:rRNA from 1 species